AGAACGAACGCUGGCGGCAUGCCUAACACAUGCAAGUCGAACGAGACCUUCGGGUCUAGUGGCGCACGGGUGCGUAACGCGUGGGAACCUGCCUUUAGGUUCGGGAUAACAGUUAGAAAUGACUGCUAAUACCGGAUGAUGUCUUCGGACCAAAGAUUUAUUGCCUUUAGAUGGGCCCGCGUUGGAUUAGCUAGUUGGUGGGGUAAAGGCCUACCAAGGCGACGAUCCAUAGCUGGUCUGAGAGGAUGAUCAGCCACACUGGGACUGAGACACGGCCCAGACUCCUACGGGAGGCAGCAGUGGGGAAUAUUGGACAAUGGGCGAAAGCCUGAUCCAGCAAUGCCGCGUGAGUGAUGAAGGCCUUAGGGUUGUAAAGCUCUUUUACCCGGGAUGAUAAUGACAGUACCGGGAGAAUAAGCUCCGGCUAACUCCGCGCCAGCAGCCGC
rnacentral:rRNA from 1 species